GGGUAUGUCAAAGAGAAAAAAAAUGG
rnacentral:piRNA from 1 species